GACUAUCAGUCUCACGUAACUUUAAUGAGAACGCGCACACGUUAUUAUGGUAGAGACGCGCCUAACUAUUGUGAGCGAGCUCUCUACAUUACAUGGGCCGAUUCUAUCCUGAGAUUCUUGGGGGCGCACAGACUCGCAAAGGAGCGUGACAGUUUCUCAAUUUGGAUGCGAGGAACUAUACGUGUCCCUUCAUUUACAGCGCAUGCGCGAUAUUAAAGUGCAGAACACACGUGAAACAUAAAGAUGGCGGAUCAAUAUGAAGGCUCGCACCCAGCAAAAAUGCAGCAGUGGGUUGGAAUACAAUGGCUUUGCUUACAAAAUCUGAGCCAGACUUUGGAACUCUACUCUGCAAGGUUUAACCCAUUGGCAUUAAGAGACUGAUCAUUAAUUACAUUUGGCAUGGUAAAGGUGUGGCAACCAGUGACCAUUAGUCCUUCUUUGGAAGAUCUGGGAUUUGCAGUGAUUGAUAAUAUCUUCUCCAUUCCUCCACGUUGGGUUCCUCUAUACCACAGACUUUACAGAAUGUCGGGAUGUCAUCUGGAUUAGUUAAAGUGUGUUGUUUGCAUCUUUGGUAAUUUGUAUUCCAAAAGGGAAUGUCCAGCGAAACAUAAGCUUUUUCUCUUUAAGUAGCUGUAGGAUGGGUUUGACCAUUCGUCUUUGCUAUAGUGUAUGCCAUGAGAGGUCUUGUAAAAUAAUAAUGUCUGCUUCCGCAAAUCUAAUUGUCUGUUGUUUCCUCGCUUUGGCCAAUAUCUCCUCUUUUACUUUGAAGCGUGCCAAACAGCAUAUAACAUCCCUGGGGUUAUUUGUGGGAAGGCUUUUAGGUUUGAGGGCUCUGUGCACUCUUUCUACUUCUAUCGUGUGGGUGGAGGGUAGGUUUAAUAUUUGUUGAAAAAGUUCUAUUAUAGUAUCGUGCAGGCUACUUCCAUCUGGCAGUUCGGGUAGGACUCUAAUGCGGAGGUUGUUCCUUCUCCCUCUGUUAUCUAUGUUGUCUAAUCUGCGUUGCAGGGUAUUUAUAGUUUUAACAUGGUAGACAUUUGCUUGUGUCAGUGCUUCUAUUACAUUAUCUGUUGAGUCGCCUCUGCUUUCAAUAUCUGUGACUCGAGUAAUUAAGCGAUUUCUGCCUUAAUGCCCACAACUUCUUCCUUUA